rnacentral:rRNA from 1 species
GGGUCAGUAGGUUGGUCGUGCCACCGGUACGUACUGGUCUCACUGAUUCCUCCUUCCUGAAGAACCGUAAUGCCAUUAAUUUGGCGUUGCGGGGAAACAGGACUGUUACUUUGAAAAAAUUAGAGUGUUUAAAGCAAGCUAACGCUUGAAUACAUUAGCAUGGAAUAAUGAAAUAGGACUAUCGAUCCUAUUUUGUUGGUUUCUAGGAUUGACGUA